AUGAGCCCGAGCCUUGGUAAAAGCAUCCUACUAAAGGCAGAACUUCCCUGCUCCCUGCAACUCCUCCUCCCUCUUCAAACGGCUGCUCCCAGGGGUCAGACUUAGCAGUUCUCGAGUGGGGAGGAAGAGAGUGAGAAACAUGACAAGCUGGAUACAUUCCCUUUUCCCAAGGUAGGCAGGCCCUGCAGCAGCCCUAGCUGGGGGUGGGACCUGCAGGGAGGAGAAGUCUUAUGUUUGCAUGAAGACUGAAGUGUUGCAUAAUCUAUGGCCUUGGGCAUUACAAUAUCCAAAUUGAGACUGUGUUUUCAGACUCAAAGUGAUAGCAGGGAUUUCUAUGGCUUAAUUGUAACCAGAAGACAAGGGAAGGAUUAUACCCAUUGAACAAGUUGCUUAAGUCAGUUGAUUAAGAAAAUUGCUUUUAGGAUUACGUGCCCUGAGUCCAGUUUACUCCAUCUACAGUUCACAGUAAGUGGAGGGUCAGGCCCCUACUUAUAGAUCCAUAGCUCCUGUCUCCCAUAGGCUUUAGGCUGUGCCCUCACUGAAGAUUCUGGAAACCAGAGUCUUGCUUGGAAUCUCAGAGCCAGCUAAUCCCACCAGCUUCACAGCCUUGUCUUCCGACCACACUUAUGUAUGAGUUUCUGUGCAAAGCUCAACUCUCUCAUCUUCCUGCCCUCAUGGGGCUGUGUUUGCCCUGCCCCAUCCAGCUUCCCAUUGCCCCUCCUUCUCCAUGCUGCAGGGCCCAUGUAAACCAACACCUCUCUGUUCUCAAGCUUUCCAUCGGCUGACUGUCCACCAACUGUCAUGGUGACUAGGUUGUCCUGCAGGCACCUUCUUCCUUGGCAGCUUCUCCCAAAGAGGCUCUUCCCUCUCCAUGCCCCCUGGGGUUUGGGUCAGAAUUCUCCUGUGCUUCCUGGCUGCUCAACUGAACUCCAUGCAGUUCCUAGAGGGGCACACCCUCCCUCACCUUCAGCUCUCUGAGCGCUGUUUCCUCAGAAGCACGGACUCCUAGCCUGGGAAAAUCCACAGCCCCAGUGUACUCCCCAUUUAUCUCUCUGAAUGUGAUUAUUGACUUGGGGUGCAUCUGCCUUAGAUGUGAGCCCCUUGAGGGUGGGGACCUUGGUAUCUUACUUGUGUUUAUGCCUACAGUGACUGGAGCAAGUCAGUGAAUGUAGGUGGUGACUGGCGUUUCAGAAAAUCCCUCUUGGGGCCAGCAUGGGGGUGGAUAAGAAGGAGGCAGCUGAUGCAGUACUUUAGGCAGAGAUGGGUGCUGAGCUGAGUGGGUGGAGAGGAGUGUCCUGGCUGUUCUUACUGAACUGGAAGCAUGCAGACCUGUGUGGCUUCCCCCCCAAUUCUUCCCACCUGGGGUCCUGCCCCCACCCCUUAGUGCUCCUUCUCCUCACUCAGCUCCCAUUUCCUAUGAGUGCUCACUGAGUGCCUGCAGCCCUGAGUGAGGAACAGCCCUGAGUUUGUUCCACUCCCAAAGGGACUGACAUUGUUUCUAGGCUAGGUCAGUUGGGAAGCCUUUGGCUGAGGAAAUGCAGCACUGUGGCAAGUCCUGGAGCAUAGAGCAUUAUGGGCUGAGGAUACCAAAUGGUCUUCAGCCUGGAACCCUCGAGCUGCCCCACGGAAUCACAAUAUUACAUACAGAAAAUAAGCCCCUUUUAUGCGGCUGCCUGGGUGUUUCUCUGUCUCCUUCCAGCAUUCCCCACCCCAAGGAAAAUCCUGGGCAUGUUCCAUGUGCCUCUGGCUGGCUUCCACCCUGGGCACUGCAAGUUCUUCCUGAAAAACCACUCUCAGCCAGUCUUCCUGCUGACAACUUCCCUUGCCAGAACAGUGAGGGUCUCUUCACACAGAUGCGAGUGAAAUUUGGUGCCGUGACUCAGAUCUGGGGACCUCCCUUAGGAGAUCAAUCCCCUGUCCUCCUGCUCUUUGCUCCGUGAGAAAGGUCCACCUACGACCUCAGGUCCUCAGACCGACCAGCCCAAGAAACAUCUCACCAAUUUCAAAUCCAGUAAGCGGCCUCUUUUUACUUUCUUCUCCAACCUCCGUCACUAUCCCUUAACCUCUUUCUCCUUUCAAUCUUGGCGCCACACUUCAAUCUCUCCCUUCUCUUAAUUUCAAUUCCUUUCAUUUUCUGGUAGAGACAAAGGAGACAUUUUAUCCGUGGACCCAAAACUCCGCCGCCGG
rnacentral:lncRNA from 1 species